rnacentral:tRNA from 2 species
UGCGGGAUAGAGCAGUUGGAUAGCUCGCAGGGUUCAUACCCCUGAGGUCGUCGGUUCAAGUCCGUCUCCCGCAA